UUAAGUUCAGCGGGUAUUCCUACCUGAUCCGAGGUCAACCUUGAUAAAUUGAGGUGUUUAACGGCCGGAACCUACAAUCACUUCCUAGCGAGAUGUAUUACUGCGCUCGGUGUGACAGCGAGCCCGCCACUGCUUUUCGGGGGCUGCGGACGGCCGCAGGGCCCCAACACAAGCCUAGGGCUUGAUGGCUGAAAUGACGC
rnacentral:misc_RNA from 1 species